rnacentral:rRNA from 1 species
ACGGAAGGCAGCAGUGGGGAAUAUUGGGCAAUGGGCGAAAGCCUGACCCAGCAACGCCGCGUGAAGGAAGAAGGUCUUCGGAUUGUAAACUUCUUUUAUGAGGGACGAAGGACGUGACGGUACCUCAUGAAUAAGCCACGGCUAACUACGUGCCAGCAGCCGCGGUAAUACGUAGGUGGCAAGCGUUAUCCGGAUUUACUGGGUGUAAAGGGCGCGUAGGCGGGGAUGCAAGUCAGAUGUGAAAUCCAUGGGCUUAACUCAUGAACUGCAUUUGAAACUGUUUUUCUUGAGUGCUGGAGAGGUAGACGGAAUUCCUUGUGUAGCGGUGAAAUGCGUAGAUAUAAGGAAGAACACCAGUGGCGAAGGCGGUCUACUGGACAGUAACUGACGCUGAGGCGCGAAAGCUAGGGGAGCGAACAGGAUUAGAUACCCUGGUA